rnacentral:rRNA from 1 species
CGUAGGGAGCGAGCGUUGUCCGGAUUUAUUGGGCGCAAAGAGCUCGUAGGCGGUUUGGUAAGUCGGGUGUGAAAGCUCCGGGCUCAACUCGGAGAGGUCACUCGAUACUGCCAUGACUUGAGUCCGGUAGGGGGUGUGGAAUUCCCAGUGUAGCGGUGAAAUGCGCAGAUAUUGGGAGGAACACCAAUGGCGAAGGCAGCACCCUGGGCCGGUACUGACGCUGAGGAGCGAAAGCGUGGGGGAGCAAACAGGAUU